GUGAAUCAUCAAAUCUUUGAACGCAAAUGGCACUCUCUGGUAUUCCGGAGAGUAUGCCUGUUUGAGGUUCAGUUUAAAUAAAAAUCGGUGUGGUCGCUGCCUUUCGUGGUGACGCGCCGGAUUUGGUUCGUCUUGCCUUCGGUUAAGUGACCUAAAAUUUUGCAUGAUUUUUUCGAACGUAUUUAAAUGAUUUUACGUACGUUUGCGAUAUCGAAUACUACUUUCGGUCGUCCUCCUGAUUCUCGCCUAUAAUUUCUCAUCAAACUGACCUCAAAUCAUUUAAGAGUACCCGCCGAACUUA
rnacentral:misc_RNA from 1 species